UGAGGUAGUAGGUUGUAUUGUUAAGAACUACACCAUUACUGAAGAACAGUACAAUCUGCUAGCUUUCC